CCAAAAUUGCUGCAAGAGAAAAUUAAUGAAAUGAUAAAAAUUUGAAUAGGAGUUAAUUUGAUGUUUCUUGAAUUAAAUGCUUGUGGCCAGUCUUAUCUCAACCACAGAAAAUUACAAGUGUAUUUCUUCAAUUACUCUGUCUUUGCUGGUUUUGGAAGGGACUUAAGCUCUUCCCAUAGCCUAAACAUUUCUGUUUCUGUAGAACCAGUUAGAAUUAGUACUGGGCACAGAGACACAAAAAAGGAUGAACUGGGGUUGUUCGUCCUGCUCAGCUUCUAUACCUAUCUUCUGCGGAUUUUUACAGUACGUUUUUUUCUUGCAAGGAUUGCACAACAAUUUUAUCCAAACUGGAGCAAGGGAAAUCUGGAUGGACGUCACGGGGCAGGGAAUCACAGGUUAUUUGCUGCACCUGUACAGAGAAUGUCUAUUCUAAUGACACUGAUGUUCUGCAAGCAAUUCUAGUUUUUACAGUGGGAGUUAAGGUGAAGGGAGGCUGCAUCUGGAGUAAUGUGUCCAGCUGGGAGCUCCUCAGUACAAAAGAGACACGGAGCUCCUUGAGUGAGCCCAGAAGGCUGCAAAGAGGUUAAGGGACUGGAGCACCUCUAUUACAAGAAAAGGCUGAGUGAGCUGCAUCUGUUCAGCACUGAGGUGAGACAGCUGAGGUGGGACAAUGUCUAUAAAUAUCAGAAGGGAGGGGGUUAAGAGGAUGAAGUCAGGCACUCCUAAGUGAUGCCAAGCAAUAGGACCAGAAACAGCAGGCAGAAACUGAUGCACAGAAAAUUCCACCAAACACGAGGAAGAACUUUAUCAUGUGGCUGACCAUACAUUGGAAGAGAAUGCUCAGAGAGGUAUAGAGUCUUCCUCACUGGAGAUAUUCAAGAACCAUCUGGACACAAGCCUCUGUCCUGUGCUCUGGGAUGACCCUGCUUGAGCAAGAAGGUUGGACCAGAUGACCCCCUGAGGUCUCUUCCACUCUGACUCAUUCUGUGUUUCUGUGAAACAAAUCAUCGAAGACCACAAAAUUGUUUUCCAAACAAGAAAAAUUAUUUCAGAAAACAAUGAACUAUAUGUAUAUUUCUGAAUGUAUUUGCACACCAACAGAAAGAAAGAGCUUUCAGUGGUAUGGAGUGGUUCCUUUCUAUUCUUGUAGAAGAGAUUCUAUAAUAACCAAUUCAUUGUGAAGCAAGUUUGAAAGAGGAAAUUUGAAUAACUCUUUCAUGCUUCUGUUGGUUGCAAGGAAUACUCUAAGAGAAAAUUCUGAGCUAUAUAGGAGAAGUCUUAGUGUCAUUGGACUCAACCAUUUACUUACAUCAAAUAGAAAUUUGGCUCUGUGCUAGAUAACAACAAACUCAGGUAGACUUUGAUGUUUUCUUUGGAUAUGUCCUUGCCUCCUGGAAGAAGUCCAAGAGCAUCUUUCAGGUUCAUGUAACUCAUAAGAAGUUGUUGCUGCUGCCUAUAUUAAGGGAAGUGGGGAAAAAAGAAAUCAAACUUGUUUGUGAUAAGAGGUUCUUCAUAAAAUAAGUUGGUGUGCUGGUGCUUUGCUUUGAAUUUAUACCAAAGCAAUACUGAUUCAAAGGCACACAGGAAUGGGGUAAAUUGUGCAGAGCCCUUGAGUGCAGACUUAAGGCAAAUUUACAGGAGAAUACUUUGUAUUCUCCAGUGUAUUAAAUUGUGGAAGGAUCAAAUACUACAUGUUGCUGAAAAACAAGACAAGACAAGGAAAUUGAGAUAAUAUAGCUAAGGAGGAAUCUUCCAAAAAAAUUAAAACUUCGGAUGACAUCUCUCAAAUGGAGGUAUCUCCACUGGAGCUCAACAUAGUUGCAAAAGAUGUAAGCAUUGCUCAGAUGAGCAAAGCAAAGCACAAAAGUAUUAAACUUUGCAUCAUCUAUCAGGCCAAUAAAAAGGACAGACAACUCCUGAAUUCCACAAGUUAGUGUUUCAGAGGCAGACAACUCUGUUUCUACUACUUUCAGUCAUUUUACACACUUGAGGUUGUCAUGGUACUUCUGUUACUUCAGUGGGUGACAAUCAAAAUGCAAAAAUGUAAAUCAAAUCCUUAAAGCUGCUCACCCUUGAGAAUGACAAGACUAAGUACUGAUGUGGGUGGGGAAGAGAACAAAAAGGUACACAUACUUGAGAAGUAUUAUUUUCUCUCCUAAUUUACAAAGAAAGCCAAUCUGAAGCAUUGCUCACAUAUCCUGAGGCUGUGCCUUGUAAGGUACCACACAGUCCUGCUGUCUUUCCGUUGAAACCUUGGUAUGAGAUAUGCAGUGAAAAUAAAAAUACCAAUGGCUUGCUACUGUGUUGCUCUAAUUAGGACAGCCAGCUUCCCUUUCUCUUUCCUUGUAUGUAAUUAUAGAUUAUCCUGACCUUUCCCAAGACCUGGCCAGUGUCAGUGAGGUAUCUCUGAAUUAGGCCAGAUAAGGGUGAAAUUCUGUUGAAAAGGCAUAUUUAAGCUCUCAAGGAAGAGCAGUAACUUUUUAAUUUAUGACAGUUUAAAGGCUGAAUAUAUCUGAGGAGUCUCACUGAAUUCUUCAACAUUAAUGAUGUAUGAAAGCACUAGCCAGAAUGAAAAGUGUAACAAUUUGACCUGUCUUAAAAUGUAUUUAUGCAAUUUUUCCUGUCUUCUUUUGAAUGGGCAAGAUUUUGCUUGCACAAUUGAGGUGCCUUACAGGUUCAAAACCAUCAAAACAAGUGUAGUUCAAUGCAUGAUCAAGAACUGGAAUGGUCUGCCUAGGAAAGUGGUGUAGUCACCAUCUUUGAAGAGGUUUAAAAGAUGUGUCAAUGUGGAACUUAAAAAUACGGUUUAGUGGUGGGCUUGACAGUGUUGGGUUAACAGUUGGACUUUAAGUUCUUUUCUAACCUAAAUGAGUCUAUGAUUAAAUUAUAAUUAUAAUUGCAUUCUUUGUUUAUGCUUGAUUCAACAGUACAAAUUGGAUUGAAUAUAAAUGGGGAAAUUACCUGCAAUAUCUCCCUGUUAAUUUUUCCCUAAAACAGCUGAAAACAAGGCCCAUGAAUCCAUUCAUCCCUACUAUCAUGGUUUGGUAGUCUAGGGUUUGCAUUAGAGUCAGUCAUACGUUAAUGUCAAAGUGCCCUUGAGCACAAAGGAGAACAGUAGCUAUGGCAGUACUGGUAAAUAUAGAUUCAUGUUUGACAAAACAACAAACUCCUCUUUGUGUCACUGGGGUCAAGCAUCUUCCAUGUGACUGGUCACACAGGUAAUGGUUUCUAACUCCUGCACUUUCAACCACAGACUGUUUUAUGUAGCAUUAUGUAGCAUUAAAUCUAUAUUUAGGAUGGAAUCUAUCUCUCUUUACUUUAGACACCAAAAAGACUCUAUUCCAAGUUAGCCACCAGUGACCUAAGUAGAUUCCCUCAGUCAAUGGAGAUAGGUCUUACAAAACUGUUUUUAUCACCUGAACCAUUUGUUUAUCACCUAAACCAAUUCCUCAUAGAAGUUCAUCUUCUCCUAUUGUCUUCCAACAGAUCUAGAUGAUUAGCAUAGAUCCUCACCACUCAGACGGUCAAGAUGAGACUGAGUCCCACUCUCAAGGGAAACAAAAAGAGGAAGUCACUGCAGAAUGUAAACCUGUUUGUGUGUAUUAUCAGUUGUAAUUCUCCUUUCCCCCAAGAGAAGGCCACGUACACAUGGAAAAUUCAUGAGAGGUAGCUGAAGAGGUAUCACAACUCAUCAAAGACCCCUGAAGCACCUCCCUCAGACUCAUUCCUGAGGCCUUGCAGCAGAGCACUGCUCGUGAUGCAAGUGAUGUGGCAGAUCCAGAGUCUGCUGCAAGAAUGUCAAACUUGCCCCCUGCCAGGGAGGUACCUGGCCAUUCCUAACAGGCCCAAAUAUCAUAUUAAUCCAUUGAAUUCUGUGUUUUGCAGGACCCUCACCACCAAGAAGAUCAGAAGAAAAGGAUCAACAGGGUGCCAAUUGGGAUCCAUGGAGUGGGGAUAUUUUCUAUUUAAUCUGUCUCUGUCUCUCUGUCUCCCCACUCCUCUUUCUCUCUUCCUUUCUAUCUCUUUGUCUCUCUACAUUACAUUUACUGUUAAAUAAAGAGUCCGUAUUAUUGACUUCAGCCUAUGGCCUUGUUUGCACUUUAAUUCAGGCAGAAGCAUCUUUCUAAUAAUUUUAAUAACUGGAUCAUAACAGUUUGGUGAGGGCAAUUAUAUCCAUUCAUGGCAAGAAGGCAUUCUGCAGAAGUAACAUUGCUUUGACAAACACAUCACUUUACCUUAGCUUUUGUUCACAUUCAUAUGUGUUGGCAAGUCUUCAAGACAGAAAAGGAUAAGUAAUGAAUUAAAGAAGAGGUUAAAUACUGUAUCAGGGAACCCCGUUAGAUGGUGAGUUUUCUCCUUCCUCACGAGCUGUGUCACCCAGAGCAGAAGGAAGAUGGAGAAAGCAUUGAAUCAUAACAUUGUGGAUGUGUUUGUGUGC
ensembl:lncRNA